CGCGGCCUAUCAGCUUGUUGGUGAGGUAAUGGCUCACCAAGGCGACGACGGGUAGCCGGCCUGAGAGGGUGACCGGCCACACUGGGACUGAGACACGGCCCAGACUCCUACGGGAGGCAGCAGUGGGGAAUAUUGCACAAUGGGCGAAAGCCUGAUGCAGCGACGCCGCGUGAGGGGUGACGGCCUUCGGGUUGUAAACCUCUUUCAGUAGGGAAGAAGCGAAAGUGACGGUACCUGCAGAAGAAGCACCGGCUAACUACGUGCCAGCAGCCGCGGUAAUACGUAGGGUGCGAGCGUUAUCCGGAAUUAUUGGGCGUAAAGAGCUCGUAGGCGGUUUGCCACGUCUGUCGUGAAAGUCCGGGGCUUAACCCCGGAUCUGCGGUGGGUACGGGCAGACUAGAGUGCAGUAGGGGAGACUGGAAUUCCUGGUGUAGCGGUGGAAUGCGCAGAUAUCAGGAGGAACACCGAUGGCGAAGGCAGGUCUCUGGGCUGUAACUGACGCUGAGGAGCGAAAGCAUGGGGAGCGAACAGGAUUAGAUACCCUGGUAGUCCAUGCCGUAAACGUUGGGCACUAGGUGUGGGGACCAUUCCACGGUUUCCGCGCCGCAGCUAACGCAUUAAGUGCCCCGCCUGGGGAGUACGG
rnacentral:rRNA from 1 species